rnacentral:rRNA from 1 species
UACGGGGGGGGCAAGCGUUGUUCGGAAUUACUGGGCGUAAAGGGCUCGUAGGCGGCCAACUAAGUCAGACGUGAAAUCCCCGGGCUCAACCUGGGAACUGCAUUUGUGACUGCAUAGCUAGAGUGCGGCAGAGGGAGAUGGAAUUCCGCGUGUAGCAGUGAAAUGCGUAGAUAUGCGGAGGAACACCGAUGGCGAAGGCAAUCUCCUGGGCCUGCACUGACGCUCAUGCACGAAAGCGUGGGGAGCAAACAGG